AACGAACGCUGGCGGCAGGCUUAACACAUGCAAGUCGAGCGCCCCGCAAGGGGAGCGGCAGACGGGUGAGUAACGCGUGGGAAUCUACCCAUCUCUACGGAAUAACGCAUGGAAACAUGUGCUAAUACCGUAUACGUCCUUCGGGAGAAAGAUUUAUCGGAGAUGGAUGAGCCCGCGUUGGAUUAGCUAGUUGGUGGGGUAAAGGCCUACCAAGGCGACGAUCCAUAGCUGGUCUGAGAGGAUGAUCAGCCACACUGGGACUGAGACACGGCCCAGACUCCUACGGGAGGCAGCAGUGGGGAAUAUUGGACAAUGGGCGCAAGCCUGAUCCAGCCAUGCCGCGAGAGUGAUGAAGGCCCUAGGGUUGUAAAGCUCUUUCACCGGUGAAGAUAAUGACGGUAACCGGAGAAGAAGCCCCGGCUAACUUCGUGCCAGCAGCCGCCGUAAUAC
rnacentral:rRNA from 1 species